CGCAGCAACGCCGCGUGGGUGAUGAAGGCCUUCGGGUCGUAAAACCCUUUUCUGGGGGAAGAGUAAGGACGGUACCCCAGGAAUAAGCCUCGGCUAACUAUGUGCCAGCAGCCGCGGUAAUACAUAGGAGGCAAGCGUUAUCCGGAUUUACUGGGCGUAAAGAGCGUUGAGGCGGCUUCGUAAGUUGGACGUGAAAGCUCCCGGCUUAACUGGGAGAGGCCGUUCAAUACUGCGGGGCUUGAGGACAGCAGAGGGGGGUGGAAUUUCCGGUGUAGUGGUGAAAUGCGUAGAUAUCGGAAGGAACACCAGUGGCGAAGGCGGCCCCCUGGGCUGCUCCUGACGCUGAAGGCGAAAGCUAGGGUAGCGAACGGGAUUAGAAACCCCGGUAGUCCUAGCCGUAAACGAUGGAUACUAGGUGUAGGAGGUUAAAAUUCCUUCUGUGCCGGAGCUAACGCGUUAAGUAUCCCGCCUGGGGAGUACGGUCGCAAGGCCAAAACUCAAAGGAAUUGACGGGGGCCCGCACAAGCAGCGGAGCGUGUGGUUUAAUUCGAUGCAACGCGAAGAACCUUACCAGGGCUUGACAUGUAGGUAGUAGUGAAGCGAAAGCGGAACGAUCCUUCGGGAAGCCUACACAGGUGCUGCAUGGCUGUCGUCAGCUCGUGCCGUGAGGUGUUAGGUUAAGUCCUGUAACGAGCGCAACCCCUGCCGUUAGUUACAAGUGUCUAACGGGACUGCCCGGCAAAACUGGGAGGAAGGUGGGGAUGACGUCAAGUCAGCAUGGCCUUUAUGUCCUGGGCUACACACACGCUACAAUGGCCGGUACAAUGGGUUGCCAAGCCGCGAGGCGGAGCCAAUCCUCUAAUGCCGGUCUCAGUUCGGAUUGUAGGCUGCAACCCGCCUGCAUGAAGUUGGAGUUGCU
rnacentral:rRNA from 1 species